GCCCCCUUAGUUCAAUGGAUAUAACAAGCCCCUCCUAAGGGUUAGUUGUGGGUUCGAUUCCCGCAGGGGGUGCCA
rnacentral:tRNA from 1 species